rnacentral:lncRNA from 1 species
GUAAUGAAACUGGACGCCUUCCUUCCCGGCGAUCUUGACUUAACCUGUCAGCAGAGGGCUUGAGGUUAGACCACAGGUUGAACCUAGGUGGCUGCUGGAGAGAAACACUCUGUCUUCCUGCUUUGAGGACAGCUGAAGUCUUGCCACUUCUUCUGGAUGCUCUGACCAUCAGUAAGCCACCUCAGUCUCACCCUCCGCAGAAUGCAGGCCCACUCCGUUGCUGAAGGGCCUCCUCCUUGGGCCAGGGCGCCUGCUUCUGCCAGUGGCAUCAUCACCCCACUCCUCAGCCGCCAGUCAUCAGAGACACGGUCUGACUUUGUUACCCCGGCUGGAGUGCAGUGGUGCAAUCAUGGCUCACUGCAGCCUUAACCUCCUGGGCUCAAGUGAUCCUCUCGCCAAGGCUAGGAUAAGUAGCUAGGACUACAGAUGCGCCCCAUCACGCCCAGCUAAUUUUACAACUUCUGUAGAGAUGGAGUGUUGCUGGGUUGCCCAGGCUGGUCUUGAAUUCCUGGGCUCAAGCGAUCCUCCUGUGUCCGGAAUUGGUGGGUUCUUGGUCUCACUGACUUCAAGAAUGAAGCCGCGGACCCUCGCGGGUGGAGUCUCCGGGAGGAUGGCUGUGGAAGAACUGCCAAUUCCAAGGGCCUGGUCAGGCAGAGGCAUUCUUACUAUUCCAAAACAAGGAAAGGGUAAAACCAAGAUGUCAAAGGCCCCGCUGGUGUGGAAGCAAAUUUCUGCCUCCACCAGCUGGAUGGCUGCUACCCCUGUACAGGUUCCUAACACUGGAACAGGGAUCAACCCAAGUGCUUGGGGCUCACCAUGUCCUCCUCCCCAGCCAGGACAGCAAGUGGAAGACACAGGCGAGCUGAAAGAGGCUCACUGUGUGCCCAGCCCUAACCCCCUGCCUCAUUGGCACCAGGCACCCAGGACUCCUCAGAACUCAGAGCCAGGGUUUGGGCAGCCUCCUCGUAGUGCUCCUUGAAUAGGAUUUAUAGGACUUGCACCAGGAGCUUUGGGCCAUUCCAGGGGACAUUGCUUUGGGGGAAAAAAGGACCCAAUAUGGGUAUCUAGAACUUGAAGCAUGUCGUCAGAGAUCGGAGCUCCAGGGAAUUGGAAAAUUAUGCUUCAGAGGUUCCCAAGGGAAUGAUGGCCUGAAUCCCACUCCUCCCCCAAAAUAAAGCUCCUUUGACCUCUUUCGUA